GGGCAUGCAUGGCAUUUGGAAUCAUGUCUAUACUCUGCAAAAUCCUCUUUGAACAAGGAAUUGCUUCAUUGUAAUUGCUCUGCUUCUGUGUGUUUUCUCUGUUUAUCUAAUUCUAACGAGAAUGGAGACAUUUCUAUCUCUGCCAUUGGGUGGAGAACAAUUAUAAGGUACAGGAGCCAACUCUCAGUUGGUCACAUAACAUUUGCCAGUGUCUGUGUUUGUAUUACCUAAAUCCCAGAAGAGAAGACAUUAGCUUGUCUCCCACCAACCCCAGUUCUUAGAAGAAUGGAUGAAUAACUAAUGGCUGUGAAUCUUGGAAUGUGACAGUCUCCAAAGAACUGAAGUUGAGGAUCGCCCAGAGGAUAAUCAAGGGAUGCAUGGUGGACAAGAGCAGAUUGCAGCACAUUAUAAAGGAGGAAUCUAGAAGGAAAAGCCAAGGAAAAGAUAUCAGAUAAAUGCAUGAACAGAACAGAUGGGUCAGUUACACAGUAAGAAUAAGAAGUAACUGAUGAAUCACCUGUAUGUUCCCCUGGGAUCCUCUCAAGGUCAAGUAAUAUGCUGAAAUAUGUUGGAUUGAUCCCUUGUUUUGAACUUACUAGAGGACAUGGGCAAGAGUACUGCAGGACCAGCAGGAUCUACCUGGACAUUUACAAGGGCAGUUCCAGCUAAUUGAAACAUUAGAGACCCACCAGGAAUCGAGCCCCUGAUGAAGGGGUCAGGAUGAGAGACUCUGUGAUCUCAGCAACACCCAGAUGUUGGUCUGGCUGAUGUUCCAUGAGGACAGUAAACUUGGGAGUUUCUGAAGAUCUGGACCUGAUGGGAUCUGGGCCCCCACAACCUGGUAGACCGUGAUGCUGAGAUGAUUACUAAAAGUGGACCAGCAACCAAAUGAAGUGCUCAUGCAAUUGAAAUUGCCUUGAGGAUACAGCCUUGGGACAAUCUCUUUGGGAGUUCCUGAAGAUCUGGACCUGACGGAGUUUAGCCCCAACAACCCUGAGAACAGCAUCUUUCCAAGGAACUACCCACCCAUCAUUUUGUUGGAAAUUCUGCGUAAUGUGUGAGGACUUCAUGAGGCUGUGUCCUUGGUCUAUAUCUCCAGCCUGGCAACAUAAGAGUCUCCGUUCCCAAAGAAAGCCCAAUACUGAAUGUCACCAAGAGAAUGAUAAUCACCAAAGCAUCCAGGACAAAGGCAUGAAAAAGAAGGCAAUUAAAAGGUACAUAGUGUAAAUUGAACUGGUGUAGGCUUUGCCCUCUCCUUUUGAUCCUUUUUUCCUCUUACACUUUAUUUCUAUCUGAGGCAUCCCCCUACCCUACCCCAGACUUCAUGAAUGUUUAGCCCUGCUGUGAAACCU